UUUUAAUUGAAGGCUGGUAUGAACGGUUGGACGAAGUAUAAGCUGUUUCAUAUAAAUUUAUAAUAGAAUUUUAUUUUUUAGUCAAAAAGCUAAAAUUUUAUUAAAAGACGAGAAGACCCUAUAAAUCUUUAUAUUUGUUUUUAAUUAAGUUUUUUGGAUAUAUUUUAUUUUUUUAAAAGAAAGUAUUUUGUUGGGGUGAUGUUAAAAUUUAAUGAACUUUUAAUAUAAAAAGAUACAUUAAUUUAUGAUUUAUUGAUCCAUUAAUAAUGAUUAUAAGAUUAAGUUACUUUAGGGAUAACAGCG
rnacentral:rRNA from 1 species